CCCGCCACUAUGCCCGUCUGUCAGUGACUGAGUAUAAUCCAGUGGAGGCUCAGAGUGACCCGGCUUUAGGAAACAGGUCUGCCCCAAACUCAUGGACAACUUUGUGCCAAAAGACUGGAACAAAU